rnacentral:rRNA from 1 species
GAUGAACGCUGGCGGCGUGCCUAAUACAUGCAAGUCGAGCGAACGGACGAGAAGCUUGCUUUUCUGAUGUUAGCGGCGGACGGGUGAGUAACACGUGGAUAACCUACCUAUAAGACUGGGAUAACUUCGGGAAACCGGAGCUAAUACCGGAUAAUAUUUUGAACCGCAUGGUUCAAAAGUGAAAGACGGUCUUGCUGUCACUUAUAGAUGGAUCCGCGCUUCAUUAGCUAGUUGGUAAGGUAACGGCUUACAAAGGCAAGGAUGCAUCGCCGACCUGAGAGGUGGUCGGGCCCCACUGGACCUGAGCCACGCUCCAGCCUCCUACGGGAGGAACCAGUGGGGAAUCUUCCGCAAUGGGCGAAAGCCUGACGGGGCACCGCCGCGUGAGUGAUGAAGUUCUUCGGUUCGUAAACCUCUGUUAUUAGGGAAGAACAUAUGUGUAAGUAACUGUGCACAUCUUGACGGUACCUAAUCAGAAAGCCACGGCUAACUACGUG